rnacentral:rRNA from 1 species
AUUGAACGCUGGCGGAAUGCUUUACACAUGCAAGUCGAACGGCAGCACGGACUUCGGUCUGGUGGCGAGUGGCGAACGGGUGAGUAAUAUAUCGGAACGUGCCCAGUCGUGAGGGAUAACGUAGUGAAAAUUACGCUAAUACCGCAUACGAUCUAUGGAUGAAAGCGGGGGAUCGCAAGACCUCGCGCGAUUGGAGCGGCCGAUAUCAGAUUAGGUAGUUGGUGAGGUAAAGGCUCACCAAGCCAACGAUCUGUAGCUGGUCUGAGAGGACGAGCAGCAAAACUGGAACUGAGACACGGUCCAGACUCCUACGGGAGGCAGCAGUGGGGAAUUUUGGAAAAUGGACGCAAGUCUGAUCCAGCCAUUCCGCGUGCAGGACGAAGGCCUUCGGGUUGUAAACUGCUUUUGUACAGAACGAAAAGGUUUCUAUUAAUACUAGGGGCUCAUGACGGUACUGUAAGAAUAAGCACCGGCUAACUACGUGCCAGCCGCCGCAGUAA